CGAGUUGGUCAGACAAUCGCUGGUUUAUUGAAGCCCUUAGUACCCUAAGGUUAGCCUGAAAAGGUGAUAAGCGGGACAAAUAGACGAGAGGAAAGUCCGGGCUACAUAGGGCAGAGUGCCGGAUAACGUCCGGGAGGCGCGAGCCUACGACAAGUGCAACAGAGAGCAGACCGCCUUUUCUUUGAAAAGGUAAGGGUGAAAGGGUGCGGUAAGAGCGCACCGCGCGGGUGGUAACAUUCCGCGGCAGGGUAAACUCCACUCGUAGCAAGACCAAAUAGGAACUCAAUGAGUGUGCCCGCUCAGAGUUCGGGUAGGUUGCUUGAGCGGCGAAGUAAUUCGUCGCCUAGAGGAAUGAUUGUCCGCGACAGAACCCGGCUUACCGACCAACUCACAUU
rnacentral:RNase_P_RNA from 1 species